CACACCGCCCGUCACACCAUGGGAGUCAACUCAACCAGAAGUCACCGACGUCAACCGCGAGGAGACAGGUGCCGAAGGUGGGGUCGAUGACUGGGGUG
rnacentral:rRNA from 1 species